AGCCUUCAUUUCCACAGUUGGUCAUGAGGCUACAGUUAAUAUGCAUUUCUUGGUCUUGGUGGUCACAAAAGAGGGAAAACAAUGCUAAAGUUGGUCUCACAGCCUUCUAGUCUGGUAUAUAGCAUGUGGGCUAGUUUCAGACAGGC
rnacentral:snoRNA from 1 species